rnacentral:rRNA from 1 species
CGGCCAGACUCCUACGGGAGGCAGCAGUGGGGAAUAUUGCACAAUGGGGGAAACCCUGAUGCAGCGACGCCGCGUGAGUGAAGAAGUAUUUCGGUAUGUAAAGCUCUAUCAGCAGGGAAGAAAAUGACGGUACCUGAUUAAGAAGCCCCGGCUAACUACGUGCCAGCAGCCGCGGUAAUACGUAGGGGGCAAGCGUUAUCCGGAUUUACUGGGUGUAAAGGGAGCGUAGACGGCAGCACAAGUCUGGAGUGAAAUGCCGGGGCUUAACCCCGGAACUGCUUUGGAAACUGGCGCGCUCGAGUGCGGGAGGGGUAAGCGGAAUUCCUAGUGUAGCGGUGAAAUGCGUAGAUAUUAGGAGGAACACCGGUGGCGAAGGCGGCUUACUGGACUGUAACUGACGUUGAGGCUCGAAAGCGUGGGGAGCAAACAGGAUUAGAUACCCGUGUAC